rnacentral:rRNA from 1 species
AGGACGAACGCUGGCGGCGCGCUUAACACAUGCAAGUCGAGCGAGAACCGGUCCUUCGGGACCGGGGAAAGCGGCGAACGGGUGAGUAACACGUGAGUAAUCCACCCUCGGCACCGGGAUAGCCCGGGGAAACCCGGAUUAAUACCGGAUGGCCCAACAGCUCUUCGGAGCGGUUGGAAAAGGUAGCUUUGGCCUCCGGCCGAGGACGAGCUCGCGGCGGAUUAGCUUGUUGGUGGGGUAACGGCCUACCAAGGCGACGAUCCGUAGCUGGUCUGAGAGGACGAUCAGCCACACUGGGACUGAGACACGGCCCAGACUCCUACGGGAGGCAGCAGUGGGGAAUCUUGCGCAAUGGGCGAAAGCCUGACGCAGCGACGCCGCGUGAGGGAAGAAGGCUUUCGGGUGUAAACCUCUUUCAGGAGGGACGAAGCUACUCGGGUUAAUAGCCCAGGGGGUGACGGUACCUCCAGAAGAAGCCCCGGCUAACUACGUGCCAGCAGCCGC